AACGAACGCUGGCGGCAUGCCUAACACAUGCAAGUCGAACGAGACCUUCGGGUCUAGUGGCGCACGGGUGCGUAACGCGUGGGAAUCUGCCCUUGGGUUCGGAAUAACAGUUGGAAACGACUGCUAAUACCGGAUGAUGACGUAAGUCCAAAGAUUUAUCGCCCAGGGAUGAGCCCGCGUAGGAUUAGCUAGUUGGUGGGGUAAAGGCCUACCAAGGCGACGAUCCUUAGCUGGUCUGAGAGGAUGAUCAGCCACACUGGGACUGAGACACGGCCCAGACUCCUACGGGAGGCAGCAGUGGGGAAUAUUGGACAAUGGGCGAAAGCCUGAUCCAGCAAUGCCGCGUGAGUGAUGAAGGCCUGAGGGUUGUAAAGCUCUUUUACCCGGGAUGAUAAUGACAGUACCGGGAGAAUAAGCCCCGGCUAACUCCGUG
rnacentral:rRNA from 1 species